GACGAACGCUGGCGGCGUGCCUAAUACAUGCAAGUCGAACGAGAGCGACCGGUGCUUGCACUGGUCAAUCUAGUGGCGAACGGGUGAGUAACACGUGGGUAACCUGCCCAUCAGAGGGGGAUAACAUCCGGAAACGGAUGCUAAAACCGCAUAGGUCUUCGAGCCGCAUGGCUUGAAGAGGAAAAGAGGCGCAAGCUUCUGCUGAUGGAUGGACCCGCGGUGCAUUAGCUAGUUGGUGAGGUAACGGCUCACCAAGGCCGUGAUGCAUAGCCGACCUGAGAGGGUGAUCGGCCACAUUGGGACUGAGACACGGCCCAAACUCCUACGGGAGGCAGCAGUAGGGAAUCUUCCGCAAUGGACGCAAGACUGACGGAGCAACGCCGCGUGAGUGAAGAAGGUUUUCGGAUCGUAAAACUCUGUUGUUAGAGAAGAACAAGUGCUAGAGUAACUGUUAGCGCCUUGACGGUAUCUAACCAGAAAGCCACGGCUAACUACGUG
rnacentral:rRNA from 1 species